rnacentral:pre_miRNA from 1 species
AAGGGAGCACUUUAGGACAGUUCUAUUAGAGACAGACUGUCAUGGAGUUGCUCUCUUAA